rnacentral:lncRNA from 1 species
UUAAGUAUGAGAGAUCUAUAUUAAACUUGUUUGAUCCCAUGUGGGUCUUCUGCUACAUUAUUUCAUGUGACUGCAUCGUAUGUGAAGCUACAUAAUUGUUCAUGGUGAUGGUUUGUAUCGCAAACGUCGUUCUCAUCGUCGACAUAAUUUGUUCCCGUUAGAAGCUUCACGCUUUUGCCACCAUAUGUGCCAGGCCCUGGUCACAAUCAACUCCUGUAGACAACAAGAAUAGGAGAUUCCAUUGAUGGAAGUCUCAAGAUUUGUUCAAGAACAUCAACGUGGAUCUGUCCACCGAAAGAGCUCUAUUAGCGAUUUCAUCCAAUCCUAAAGCUUGCCAAACUUCUCACUACAAAAACACACACUUCCGUGAUGAUACGUGUUUGUCAUAGUAGGUCACGUUUUCUGUCAUGCAUGUACAUCCAUGACGAUUUUAUGACAGAAUCAAGAUAGUCAUACCUGUGCUGUCGUAGAAGUGUUCCAUGACAUUACCAAAAUUAUCAACACAGAAGUGUCCACUUCCAUGACGAUAAAUCGUGUGUCAUAGAAGUGUUUUAGUCAAGGGUAACCGACACGCGGCAUCCACCGUAACAGGUCGCUGUUAAGCUAUCGGGUUCCGGUUUGGACCCGGUAACCCGUUAACAGCCCAGACCAAUGGCGAUUUUCCACCUGUAAAAUUCUCAUUCGUCGACGAUCCAUGUGUCGGCUCAGCAUUGGGACAGAUGUCAACCGUCCAUUUGACAAGAAUCGCCAAUGAAACGUUGACACAUGGGAUGGCCCAAUAGAGGCCCAUAUAGGUUUAAAAGCCGGCCCAGGAACAGGCCCACAAGAUUUCGUCAGAUCUAGUGGGCCAGCCCGUUAACAACCUAACAUUUUCUGGACCAAAUUAUAGCCCACAUCAGAUAUGAGCCGUUAAAUGACUGCAAUAUUCUAGGCCAGUUUACGGCCCAUAUCAGAUCUGGCCCAUUAACAACCUGCAAUAGUUUGGGCCAAAUUACGGUCCAUACCUGAUCCGGCCCGUUAACUCACUUCCAUUUCUUGGGCCAAAUUACAGCCCAUAACAGAUAUGGCCCUUUAACAGCUAUUGUGCCAUUGGGCCCAUUGGGGGCCUGAUUUGCUCUUCGGCCUCUUAAUGGCCCAUUUAAUAGUUCGGCCUGAUAUUAGUUUUGGCCUGUUAGCGGCCCUAUCAACAUUUGGGCCUCUUUCGGCCCGGUUUCACUUUCGGCCAUUUUAAAGGCCUGAGUUGCAGCUGGGCCUAAUUAUGGUUCGUAGUUGCUUUCAGCCCGUUAAAGGCCCUUGAGAGUGUUCGGCCUAAUUUUGGUCCGUUAUACAUCCGGCCUGCCUGCUUCCAGCCUGUCAUGUAGUUGGGUCAGUCAAGGCCCAAAAACAUUUCAGCCUGUUAAUGGCCCGUCAACCGAAUGGGCCGAUUUAUAUUACAGCAUGCUGUCGAUCCAUGAUUUCUUCGCCACAAUUAAGGCCGAAUCUAGUUUUCGACCUGUUAAAAGCAUAUUUAAUUUUCCGGCCCAAUUAAGGCAAGCGGUUUACUCGGCCUUUUAAAGGCCUGAAACUAAUAGUGGGCCAGAUUAAGACUAGACCUAACUAAUGGCCCAAGAUGAUUGUAGGCCCACGGUUUGGCCCGUACUAGCGAUUGGCGACCGACCAAUUUUAGUACAUAAAUUAUUAUUUUAUAAACCUAACCUAUUGGCUCAUUGCGCACCAAUUGAAGAUUACGACUUGUUCUCAGGGCGACGACAACAUAAACAGCAAAUAAAUUACAGCAUCAUGAUGAAAAAUAAACCUAGACUAUACAACAAAGAAAUUACAACAUAUUACAUCCCCUGGUCAUCAAAGUUUGCCACCAAUGAUAACAAAGGGUUUAAGCUGCUAUUCAAAAUUGCUACAAAUUUUCAGAAAAAUGAGAAAUUACCUCUUCCCCUUUUCUUUGGAUUGCUAGUCCCUUCCCCUUUCUUUCCAUCUUCUAACAGGGCGGAACAGCGCCGGUUGGGCAUCUUAUUAGCUUGCAUGUAUAAUCAUUUAAGUCCUAAAUUAUAAAUCUGGACAUUACACUACAUAAAUUUGUUAGUGAGCAUGAACGAAUAUAAAAAAGCUUUACACCCUAUUGUACAAUUCACUACAUAAAUUUUCAUCUAUUUUAUUCAGAAUACGCCAAUGCCCAACAAAGUUGGAAGAGACUCUCUCAACCAUAUUCAAUACACUACAUAUAUUCAGAAUACGCCAAUGCCCAGCAUCAGAGUCUCUAAAUAUGCAAUGGUUCAGAUCAUGGAAAAUUGACAGAAGAAAAAUCGCCAAUGCCCAACAAAGUUCAAAGUUCGGACCUGUCACACCCUGCACGGGAUUUGGGGCGGAUCAAACAGAGUAAUCUCAGAUCUCACGCGAGAGAAAGGGGGAAGUAGGAGCAGAACUAGGGUUUGUAUUGAUAUAAGAUGUAUGAUUGUAUCAUAGGGAUAUUCUCCGCAUAAUUCGAUAGCCAUUACAGAGGCCAGCUGCUAGCUUUAUAGCUGCGGUGGCAAAUGGAAGAAACAGCACAGUGCGGCAAAUGAAACAGAACAGUAAACGGUAACGGUUGGUGGGUAAGGCGAGCAUCCGCGAGCCGUCCGAUGCGCCGAACCGUCUUGUGCCAGGGCCGUCCGAUAACUGAAGAAGAUGGGCUGCCUGUUAACACCUUGUACCUGACAAUACCCCCGGGCGAGAACGAACUUGUCCUCAAGGAGUUGAUCGGUGGAACCACUUGUCGAUGGUGCUAUUGAAUAACGUAGGGAAAGUUUUCUUCAUAAACGACGCGUCUUCCCAAGAAGCUUCAUCAGGAGGAAGAUUUGCCCACUGAACGGCGGGCAAAUUGUUGCGUGGUACCUGUCUGGUUUCCAGAACGAGGACAGCUUCUGUCUGAAUCAUUCCGUCCGAUCGGACUAGGGGCAGAUCAGCACACGGAACAGCUUUAGGUCCAACAUGCUUUUUUAACUGGCUAACAUGGAAGACUGGGUGGAUGUUAGUAGCUUCAGGUAGGAGCAGUUUAUACGCCACACGACCCACUUUCUUGAUGAUCCUGAAGGGUCCAUAGUACUUGCUCUGAUCUUAAUGUGUGUGCGCAGACCGAAGGCAUUGAGGCGACAAGGUUGCAGUUUUAGGUACACCAUGUCCCCAACUUCCAAAAUCCUCUUGGUUCGUUUGCGAUCAGCAUAUUUCUUCAUUCGAGCCUGAGCUGCAGCUAAGUUGGACUUCAGGUGCAGUAGCAAGGCAUCCCUGUCCUGAAAGAACUGUUGCGCAUCCCCAUUCAGCUGGUCAGGCAGAAUGUUCUCUCCAAUGUUGGGAGGGGGAAAUCCAUAGGCUGCUUCAAACGGUGUCUUCUUGAGGGAGGAGUGGUAGGAAGUAUUGUACCAAUAUUCUGCCAUGGAUAGUUGAGUUGCCCAUUUUCUUGGUUGAGUGGAUGUCAGGCAUCUCAAGUAAUUCUCAAUGCACUAAUUAACUCGCUCUGUCUGGCCGUCAGACUCCGGGUGGUAAGUCGUGCUGUAACGAAGCUCGCAACCCAUGCCCUUAAAUAUAUCCUGCCACAAUUUGCUGGUGAAGAUGGCAUCUCUGUCAGACACAAUUGCCAGAGGAGGACCAUGUAGCUUAAUGACAUUGUCGAUGAAUGUCUGAGCUACUGUUUGUACUGUAUAAGGGUGGGAUAAAGGGAUGAAGUGGGCGAAUUUGGAUAACCUGUCAACCACCACAAAUAUCACAUCCUUGCCAUUUGAUUUGGGAAGUCCUUCGAUGAAGUCCAUGCUCAGGUGAGUCCAAACCAUAUCAGGUAGUUGUAAAGGGUCUAGAUAGCCAGGGUAUGGACAGUUCUCUCCUUUGUUCUUCUGACAAACAGGACACUCAGAGACAAAUUUAUCGACUUCUUGUUUCUGACUAGGCCAGUAAAAGAUCUGUUUGAGACGUUGAUAUGUGGCUUUCAUGCCUGAGUGACCCCCCAAAGCAGAUGCAUGCAAUGCAGUUAGAAGUUUCUUCCUCAAGUCCAAAUCCCCCACAUAAAUUUUGCCUUUGUGUCUGAUGAUACCUGAGUGUAAGGUGUUUUGAUCCACAACAUGGUUAGGGGAGAGGAGCAAUUUUUCAAGCAAUGAUUUGCAAGUAGCAUCAUUGCAGUAAGAAUUCUCCACUGCAGAUAUCCACUGGGGAGUGGCUAAUGAAAUGGCCAUGACAAAGUAUUUUCUGGAAAGAGCAUCAGCAGCAAUAUUUUCUUUCCCUUUCUUGUACUGCAAGGUGAAGUUCAGUUCCAACAACUUCAACAUCAGCUUGUGUUGGAUGCUAGUAGAGAUCUUUUGGUCAGUCAUGAAUUGCAGACUCUGGUGGUCUGUUCUAAUGAUCAGGUCAUUGCCCAAAAAAUAGUGUCUCCACCUCUUCAGGGCUGCAAUGAUAGCAAGGGCUUCUUUUUCAUAAGUUGAAAGAGCAACAUUCUUUGGACAUAAACUUGAGCUGUAAUAAGCCAGGGGCCUGCCAUUUUGCAUCAUAACUGCACCAAUACCUGCUCCUGAUGCAUCUGUUUCUAGAACAAAAGGUUCAGAGAAAUUGGGCAGAGCUAAAACAGGGGUUGUGAUCAUAAGCUUGUUUGAGUGUUUGGAAAGCCUGUGUUUGAGCUGUGGUCCAUUGAAAGUUGUCCUUUUUGAGAAUAUCAUGCAAUGGUCUGGCUAUGAUUCCAAAGUUCUUCACAAACCUUCUGUAAUAACCACACAGUCCCAGAAAACCUCUAAGUUGUGUGGGAUUAGUGGGUAUUGGCCAAUCAGCUACAGCAACUACCUUGGCAGGGUCUGUGGAAACCCCUUCACCAGUUAUCACAUGGCCAAGAUAUUCUACCUUCUGAACAGCAAAAACACAUUUGGAGAGUUUUGAAAAGAGUUGGUGUUCUUGAAGCAGUUGAAGCACAAUUUGCAAGUGGGCUAUGUGUUCAGAUAAGGACUUACUGAAUAUGAGAAUAUCAUCAAAGAAAACAAGAACAAACUUCCUUAGAUAUGGUCCAAAUAUGUUGUUCAUAAGUGCCUGGAAUGUGCCUGGUGCAUUUGCUAGCCCAAAGGGCAUUACUAGGAAUUCAUAAUGUCCAAAGUAAGUCCUAAAAGCUGUUUUUGGUAUGUCAUUUUCAUCCAUUCUCACUUGAUGAUAUCCAGACCUGAGAUGCAAUUUGGUGAAGUAAGUUGCUCCGUGGAGCUCAUCUAGUAAAUCUUCAAUUACUGGAAUUGGAAAUUUGUUUUUGAUGGUAACUGAGUUGAGUUUCCUUUAGUCAAUGCACAGUCUCCAGGUUCCAUCCUUUUUCAUGACCAAUAUGGCUGGAGAGGAGUAAGGACUUUCACUGGCCCUAAUGAUUUUGUCUCUGAGCAUGGCAUCCACGUGCCUUUCCAAUUCAUUCCUUUGCAUGUGUGGAACUCUGUAUGGCCUGGAAUUGGGUGGGACUGAUUGAUCUUUGAGAGGAAUUUUAUGAUCAUGGGCUCUCUUUGGGGGCAGUCCUUUUGGUUCCUGAAAAACUAUAGGGAAUUGUUGCAGGACCUCCUCAACAGGUGGUGGUAUCUCCUGUUUGGGGGGUAUUUUCAUGGUUGUGUCCCUGAUAAGAUUCAGUACAAAACCAGGAGCUCCAACAGUCAUUAGUUUAUUUACUUCUGCUGCAUCAAUGAGGGUAGCAUCAGAUAGAGUAUCACAGGCUUUAAUUGUGACUGGUGUUUGUUGGUCCUGCAUUACAGUGAUUUGUCUGGGAUUAUAGUGAAAUGCUAUAGGGCUAUGGGUUUCCAUCCAACCACUACCUAACACUAUAUCAUGCCCAGGUGUCUUGCUUGAGACCGAUGCCGUGCACAUCCUUGCGGAGGUCAUCGACCUCGCCCCGUAGCUCCGCAGUUUCGUCACGGUGCUGCAGAAAUUCACCCUUCAUGGCCAGUAGAUCUGCGAUGUCGGACUCAUCGAGACUAGCCUUGCCGUGCCCCAUCUUGGCGGAGUGGUUCAGAAGGGAAUUUUACCUUCAGGACGUGCCUGAGAACCAGAUCUGAACACUCCACCCUGCCGCCGCCGCUCGCGAACGCCACCAAACAGCACCGCACGCCGCCGACCUGGGAUUUUACCGAAUGAGCGAUUUGCUCAAGCAACCAGUCAAGCUCGACGCGCUGCCGACGAAUGGGUCUACCGCCACCAGCGCCACCUACACCGCCGCCAACGCCACCAACAUCGUCGCCGCCGAAGAAAAGGGAGGGAAGGGUGAGAAUCACCGUCGCAGCUCCGAUCUGCUGCACUGCCAAGGAUAACCUACACUCAUGAUACCAAUUGUCACACCCCGCACGGGAUUUGGGGCGGAUCGAACAGAGUAAUCUCAGAUCUCACGCGAGAGAAAGGGGAAAGUAGGAGCAGAACUAGGGUUUGUAUUGAUAUAAGAUGUAUGGUUGUAUCAUAGGGAUAUUCUCCGCAUAAUUCGAUAGCCAUUACAGAGGCCAGCUGCUAGCUUUAUAGCUGCGGUGGCAAAUGGAAGAAACAACACAGUACGGCAAAUGAAACGGAACAGUAAACGGUAACGGUUGGUGGGUAAGGCGAGCAUCCGCGAGCCGUUUGAUGCGCCGAACCGUCUUGCGCCAGGGCCGUCCGAUAACUGAAGAAGAUGGGCUGCCUGUUGACACCUCGUACCUGACAGGACCCUGGGGAUUACCAGAAAAAUCCCC